rnacentral:rRNA from 1 species
UGUGACGGCAGGGUGGAGUUGUGGUUUAUUUCGAAGCAACGCGAAGAACCUUACCAGGUCUUGACAUCCCUCUGACCGCUGUAGAGAUAUGGCUUUCCUUCGGGACAGAGGAGACAGGUGGUGCAUGGUUGUCGUCAGCUCGUGUCGUGAGAUGUUGGGUUAAGUCCCGCAACGAGCGCAACCCUUAUGCUUAGUUGCCAGCAGGUCAAGCUGGGCACUCUAAGCAGACUGCCGGUGACAAACCGGAGGAAGGUGGGGAUGACGUCAAAUCAUCAUGCCCCUUAUGACCUG